rnacentral:rRNA from 1 species
GAAGUAGAGAAGGGCGUAUGGGGAAUGCCUAGGCUCUCGGAGGCGAAGAAGGACGUGGUAAGCUGCGAAAAGCUACGGGGACCCGCAAACAGGGCUUGAUCCGUAGGUGUCCGAAUGGGGCAACCCACCAUGCCGAAGGCAUGGUAUCCGCCGGAAGGCGGAAGCAAACCCGGGGAACUGAAACAUCUAAGUACCCGGAGGAAGAGAAAACAACAGUGAUAGCGCAAGUAGUGGCGAGCGAACGCGCAAGAGCCCAAACCCAAUUGGUCACGGCCAGUUGGGGGUUAUAGGACCACAUAAUUGAAACCGAAGAUGACAUGAACUGGGUGGGAAACCAGGCCGCAGAGGGUGAGAGCCCCGUAAAGGAAGUCUAAGGGGAGAGGUGGUAUCCUGAGUAGGGCGGGGUCGGAGACGCCCCGUUUGAAUUUGCCGGCACCAUCCGGUAAGGCUAAACACUCCCGAGAGACCGAUAGUGAACCAGUACUGUGAAGGAAAGGUGAAAAGUACUCCGAACAGGAGGGUGAAAAGAGAACCUGAAACCAUACGCCUACAAGCGGUCAGAGCUCCGAGAUGGAGUGAUGGCGUGCCUUUUGCAUAAUGAGCCUACGAGUUACUGUCACUGGCGAGGUUAAAUGAUUUGAAUCAUGCAGCCGGAGCGAAAGCGAGUCUGAAUAGGGCGCAUAGUCAGUGGGAGUAGACGCGAAACUUUGUGAUCUACCCUUGGCCAGGGUGAAGCCCCGUUAACACGGGGUGGAGGCCCGAACCAGUAAACGUUGAAAAGUUUUUGGAUGAGCUGAGGGUAGGGGUGAAAGGCUAAUCAAACUGAGAAAUAGCUCGUACUCCCCGAAAUGUUUUUAGGAACAGUGUGGGGGUUAAGUUUGGCAGAGGUAGAGCUACCGAUAGGACUAGGGGGAGUCACAUCCUACCAAAUCCUGACGAACUCCGAAUGCUGUCAAAUAUACCCUGCAAUGAGGGCGCGGGUGCUAAGGUCCGUGUCCGAGAGGGAAAGAACCCAGACCUACAGCUAAGGUCCCAAAAUCUACAUUAAGUUGAACUAAGGAGGUCCAGUUGCUGCGACAGCCAGGAGGUUAGCUUGGAAGCAGCUAUUCCUUUAAAGAGUGCGUAACAGCUCACUGGUCGAGCGACAGGGCAUCGAUAAUGAUCGGGCAUAAAAUGUAGUACCGAAGCUUAGGAUUAUCCGCCUUUGGCGGAUAGUGGUAGGGGAGCAUUCCAACAGCGGAGAAGCUGAGAGAUAACUCUUGGUGGAGCGGUUGGAAAAGCAAAUGUAGGCAUAAGUAACGAUAAGGCAGGUGAGAAACCUGCCCACCGAUAGACUAAGGUUUCCGCGGCAAUGCUAAUCAUCCGCGGGUAAGUCGGGGCCUAAGGAAAAGCCGAAAGGCGUAUUCGAUGGAUCACUGGUUAAUAUUCCAGUACUACCGUAUUGAGCGAUGAGGUGAAGGAGGAGUGAAAGCUGCGCGCCCUGACGGAAUAGGGCGUUGAAAGGUGUAGAUAUAGGAGAUGCAGGCAAAUCCGCAUUUUUUGUCGAACCCAACAGUACUCAGAGGCUUCGGCUGAAGAGAUAGACAGUGUAAACAGACUUCCAAGAAAACCCUCUAAGCAUAUUGAUAUGGUACCCGUACCGCAAACCGACACAGGUAGUCAAGGAGAAUAUCCUGAGGUGCUCGAGUGAAUCAUGGCUAAGGAACUCGGCAAAUUAACCCUGUAACUUCGGGAGAAGGGGUGCCUCCAGCAAUGGAGGUCGCAGAGAAAUGGCCCAGGCGACUGUUUAACAAAAACACAUGGCUUUGCGAAAUCGAAAGAUGAAGUAUAAGGCCUGACACCUGCCCGGUGCUGGAAGGUUAAGGGGGGGCGUUAGCGAGCAAUUGCGAAGCGCUGAACUGAAGCCCCAGUAAACGGCGGCCGUAACUAUAACGGUCCUAAGGUAGCGAAAUUCCUUGUCGGGUAAGUUCCGACCUGCACGAAUGGUGUAACGAUCUGGGCGCUGUCUCGGCCAUGAGCUCGGUGAAAUUGUAGUCACGGUGAAGAUGCCGUGUACCCGUCACGGGACGGAAAGACCCCGUGCACCUUUACUAUAGCUUCGCAUUGGUACUGGGGGGAUGAUGUGUAGGAUAGGCGGGAGGCUUUGAUCCUGGGCCGCUAGGUCUAGGGGAGUCAACGGUGAAAUACCGCCCUUUAUCUCCUUGGUGCCUAACCUUUUACAAGGGACAUUGCGUGGUGGGUAGUUUGACUGGGGUGGUCGCCUCCGAAAGUGUAUCGGAGGCUUUCAAAGGUACCCUCAGUACGGUUGGUAAUCGUACGUGGAGUGCAAUAGCAUAAGGGUGCUUGACUGUGAGACUGACAAGUCGAGCAGGGACGAAAGUUGGAUAUAGUGAUCCGGUGGUUCUGCAUGGAAGGGCCAUCGCUCAAAGGAUAAAAGGUACGCCGGGGAUAACAGGCUGAUCUCCCCCAAGAGCUCAUAUCGACGGGGAGGUUUGGCACCUCGAUGUCGGCUCGUCACAUCCUGGGGCUGGAGAAGGUCCCAAGGGUUGGGCUGUUCGCCCAUUAAAGUGGCACGCGAGCUGGGUUCAGAACGUCGUGAGACAGUUCGGUCCCUAUCUGUGAUGGGCGUUGGAAGUUUGAGGGGAUCUGGCCUUAGUACGAGAGGACCGGGCUGGACCAACCUCUGGUGUACCGGUUGUAGCGCCAGCUGCACCGCCGGGUAGCCAUGUUGGGUAGGGAUAAGCGCUGAAAGCAUCUAAGCGCGAAACCCGCCCCGAGAUGAGACUUCCUUUAAGGGUCGUCAGAGAUUAUGACGUUGAUAGGCCGCAGGUGUAAAGGCAGUAAUGCCAAAGCCGAGCGGUACUAAUUGCCCGUACGCUUC